AUGAGCAGAUGAGGCCUAGCCGAGGCGGCGGGACCCCCAAGUUUGGAAAGCUCUUUUAACGGCUAUGCGAAAGUUCUGUCCAAAGGCUGCUCACAGCCCCUGUCUGACUGGUUGUCAUGAUGAAUUGAGCUCUCUGUUACCUGCGCAUCACAACCGAUAGUAACUGUCCCUACUGAAGGCCCCAGGAGUGCUCCAGCCAGGUGUGGAAAGCUGGUCACGAUUCUAUGCUACUUGGUUCAUUUUCUACACAGCAACAGAAGAGCCCUCCUGAGAUUGCUAUUACCAUACCCGCCUGUCACCUUGCCAAGGCUGGCCAAUGUGUGUUUUGUCAUAGGCUGUCAUGGAGGCCAUGAUGGAGGAAAAGGAAAGGGGAGGCAGAUGUUGAGGCCCCAGAGGCCACAGUGAGAGCAGUUUAGUUCCUGGGGUGCCAGGACUAAGGGGGCAUUGCCCUGUCCCCCGGAUUACAGUGAGCCACAUGUCAAGCCCAAGAGCCAGGAGAGCUGAGGCUUCGAAGACCUCAGAGGACUUCUCUCAGCACUCACAGAAACCUCCUACACCCUCGGAUGGCACAAAGGGACUGUUUUCUUACUCUUAGUCUGAGUGACUGCCAAGGAAGGCAAAGGUAGAGCAACUGGAUCUCUGGCUCUCCACAUAGCUUCUGAUCUCAGACCUUACUAAAAUGCUUUCUGGGCCCAAGGACAAAGCUCACAUGAACAAAUGAUUUUGAGUCAUGAAUGAAAAAUCUUGCUCUUUCCAUAGUAAAGAAGAAUUAAGAGAUGGACAGG